rnacentral:rRNA from 1 species
GGGGAAUUUUCCGCAAUGGGCGAAAGCCUGACGGAGCAAGACCGCGUGGGGGAUGAAGGUUUGUGGAUUGUAAACCCCUUUUGAUUGGGAAGAAUACUGACGGUACCAAUCGAAUAAGCCUCGGCUAACUCCGUGCCAGCAGCCGCGGUAAUACGGAGGAGGCAAGCGUUAUCCGGAAUUAUUGGGCGUAAAGCGUCCGCAGGUGGUUUAUCAAGUCUGCUGUCAAAGAGUUUGGCUCAACCAAAUAAAGGCAGUGGAAACUGACAGACUGGAGUGCGGUAAGGGCAGAGGGAACUCCUGGUGUAGCGGUGAAAUGCGUAGAGAUCAGGAAGAACACCGGUGGCGAAAGCGCUCUACUGGGCCAUAACUGACACUGAUGGACGAAAGCUAGGGGAGCGAAAGGGAUUAGAUACCCCUGUAGUC